CCGGAGGAAGGUGGGGAUGACGUCAAGUCAUCAUGGCCCUUACGGCCUGGGCGUACACACGUGCUACAAUGGUCGGUACAAAGGGUUGCCAAGCCGCGAGGUGGAGCUAAUCCCAUAAAACCGAUCGUAGUCCGGAUCGCAGUCUGCAACUCGACUGCGUGAAGUCGGAAUCGCUAGUAAUCGUGAAUCAGAAUGUCACGGUGAAUACGUUCCCGGGCCUU
rnacentral:rRNA from 1 species